AUUGAACGCUGGCGGCAUGCCUUACACAUGCAAGUCGAACGGUAACGGGCCUUCGGGUGCCGCCGAGUGGCGGACGGGUGAGUAAUACAUCGGAACGUACCCGAACGUGGGGGAUAACGAGGCGAAAGCUUUGCUAAUACCGCCUACGAUCUCAGGCUGCAAGCGGGGGACAGCAGGGGAUCGUGCGGCCGGAGCGGCCGAUGGCAGAUUAGGUAGUUGGCGGGAUAAAAGCUCACCAAGCCGACGAUCUGUAGCUGGUCUGAGAGGAUGAUCAGCCACACUGGGACUGAGACACGGCCCAGACUCCUACGGGAGGCAGCAGUGGGGAAUUUUGGACAAUGGGCGCAAGCCUGAUCCAGCCAUGCCGCGUGCAGGAAGAAGGCCUUCGGGUUGUAAACUGCUUUUGUUCGGAACGAAAAGCAUUCGGUUAAUACAGGGGGGUUAUGACGGUACCGAAAGAAUAAGCACCGGCUAACUACGUG
rnacentral:rRNA from 1 species